rnacentral:rRNA from 1 species
UUUGUAUCCCUGAGCCAGGAUCAAACUCUUUUUGCUUCUUUGCUGACGAGUGGCGGACGGGUGAGUAAUGUCUGGGAAACUGCCUGAUGGAGGGGGAUAACUACUGGAAACGGUAGCUAAUACCGCAUAACGUCGCAAGACCAAAGAGGGGGACCUUCGGGCCUCUUGCCAUCGGAUGUGCCCAGAUGGGAUUAGCUAGUAGGUGGGGUAACGGCUCACCUAGGCGACGAUCCCUAGCUGGUCUGAGAGGAUGACCAGCCACACUGGAACUGAGACACGGUCCAGACUCCUACGGGAGGCAGCAGUGGGGAAUAUUGCACAAUGGGCGCAAGCCUGAUGCAGCCAUGCCGCGUGUAUGAAGAAGGCCUUCGGGUUGUAAAGUACGUUUCAGCGGGGAGGAAGGGAGUAAAGUUAAUACCUUUGCUCAUUGACGUUACCCGCAGAAGAAGCACCGGCUAACUCCGUGCCAGCAGCCGCGGUAAUACGGAGGGUGCAAGCGUUAAUCGGAAUUACUGGGCGUAAAGCGCACGCAGGCGGUUUGUUAAGUCAGAUGUGAAAUCCCCGGGCUCAACCUGGGAACUGCAUCUGAUACUGGCAAGCUUGAGUCUCGUAGAGGGGGGUAGAAUUCCAGGUGUAGCGGUGAAAUGCGUA